AUAAAGAGGAAGGACCAAUGAUGUGAAGGCCCAGAUCCAUCAGAGUAUCAAUGCUCUUCCUCUCUCUCCUCCCCUCUCACUGCAGACAUGAAACACUGGCUGACUAACAUCCUGAUUCUGACUCUCUGGCUAGAGUGUAAAGGAGAAGACAGAGUGAUCCAGCCAACAGGAGAUGUCAUUACUACUGAAGGAGAGACAGUUACUCUUGGCUGUACAUUUGAGACUAGUGACACAUAUCCCACUUUGUUCUGGUACAAACAAGAAGUCAAUGAUUUCCCAAAGUACAUGCUGAAGCGUUACUCAAACACAAAAGAGAAUGCUCCAGAUUUCCAGAAAGACAGAUUUGAUGCUACAAUCAACAAGACAUCAGUUCCUCUGAAGAUCCAGAAGCUUCAGCUGUCUGACUCUGCUGUGUACUACUGUGCUCUGAGG